UUUUUGGGGUUUUUUUUUGUUUUUUGUUUUUUUUUUUUUUUGUUUUGGUUUGGUUUGGUUUGGUUUUUUUUGUGACUUUGAAGGGAUUUCAGUUCGUGUGAUUACAGUAAGAUGAUGUUUUAUCUGAUCUGGUCUGUGAGGGCAGUAAAUGUUACUGAAAUAACUGUGAGCCCUUUAGUCCACCUGUGAGCAGCCGGAGGAGCUUCUGUGGCCAAGGCUGCUACUUUGAUGUGACUGCACAGGAGUUCCAAAACUUGAGAGUGCAGAGAGAACCUCUCUGGAUAACUGCAUUACUACUCAGCAAGUAGGACAAGUAAAAGACUGCAGAGGUUUUUUUUUUUUUGUGUGUGUUGGUUUUUUUGGGGGUUUUUUUUGGUGUUGGUUUGAUUUUUGUUUUUAAUGAUAACUUUUUGAGCUGCUGGGUUAGGUAGGCUGCUGUAGAGAGUCUAAUAGAUUUACAGGAAUCUUCAGAAUGAGUUGGAGAUUAAAUUCCUCCAGCUUCAUACCCUCUAAGUCUAGUUCUGGAGGUGCUGAAUGCAGGAAAGAGUAUAAAGAACCUGGAGUUGAUACAGAAAGGGCAAACUGUUCUGUGCAGGGCUAGUUCUCAUGUCCCUGUGCCUAGGAUGGCAGGCUGAGUGAGAAUUUUACUGAUGGAGGUGUUUUACGUGAACACAAAUCAGUUGAAGAACCACUAGCAAUGCUCUCUGAUGUAGGAACAGCCACAAAAGUCAUAGUUAAAGCUGGUUGAAGUACAUUUAGAAUGUUUUUCCUGCAAUUUUUUUUUCUGGGGUGAUUUUUGUGGAGGUUUUAUUUUGGGGGUUUUUUUUUUGGUUUUGUUUUGUUUUGUUUUGUUUUUUCCAUUGUGCUGCUUUAACUGUAAACAUAAAACACAUUUUAGCCCAUGAAUCAUUAUCUGAUUUUUCCCUGUUGUCAUCCUGUGAAAUGCUGAGAUACUUUGGCUGCAUGAUUGGUCACCUGAAUUACAAGGUAUUGGUGUUAUUUUUGUAUCUGACAGCUUAAAUGUAAUGAGUUGUAUAUUCUAGAAGCCUUGAAGGUCUACUGGAUCUGCCAGAAUAAUUUGAUGUAUGUUUUUUCACUGGUUUCUUUGUUAAGAAUUUUUGGCCGGAAACACAGUAUUCUAUAGCAUUUGUCCCAAAAAGGAAGGUAGAAUUUUCCUUUUUCUUACAAAAAGAAUUUACCUCACUGUGGAAUACCAUUCUGUUUUUUCAUCUGCCAACUGGAGUAGUGGACCUCAAAUUUGUUUACUGUAAGCACUUGGGUGAAGGAAACUUUCCUCACACAAAAAACAAGAUCAGUUAACAUGUUUAAAUUCUAUUUGUAAACCACGGUUGUUUUUUUCGGUGAUAAUUCAAGUGCUCUGUUUAAAUUAUGGUUCUUCAAUUCUGUGCACAAGUCUUGAAUGUGACUGUGGCAAUGAGAUGGUGAGAGACCUUCUGAUUUUUGUUUUUGUUCGGGUUUUUUAAAUUUUUUUUUUUGUUUGUUUUGGCUCAUGACUUGAUACAGUGCAUCACUGUUCCAAGAUCAGGAGCUAAGGUACAAUUAUCUGUGGGCUUCUGGUGUCUGAGGAGGCACCACUACCUCAGAACAGUGCUAGGAUCCAGCAGGUUUUGCAGGAGUAUCAGGAAGUAUUGUCAUGGGAAGGACAGCGUGUGUGACAGCAGAGGAAUUAAAGUAACUCGUGUGAAACUGGCGAUUGCCCAAAUGAUCUAAUUCCAUUGAACUGGGAACUUGUGACACAAUUCUUAGUGGCGAAGGGGAUAAACGGAAUGGAUGGCCACUGUGCAACCGCAGAUCAAUAAUCGUCCUUAAAAAGUAAGUACGGCCUCCGAGCACGUUUGACAAGAACUGGAAGUGAUUCUUUGGCAGCGGCCUGUUUGCUGAGCCCAGUGAGAGCUGUCGGAGCUCCCCAGGGCUGGAUGCAGGCGGGGCGCUGCGCUGUCUCCACCGGGUGCAGUCAGCAACUCGGGUCAUUGGCAGCGUCCAGCACAAAACACCUCCCGCCCAGCUGCGCAGGGACUCUUGUCUCUUCUCGGGACACUACUAGGAAGCUCUCCACCUUUCAAAGCAACACGGUAAAGAAUGACCAGGCAAUACUCUUUGAAAAUUGGAGACCAUUUGCAGCUGCUCUCUGCUGAGGAAAGUGAAUAAUAGGGUGCCCUCAAGGAAUUUCAAAGGCUUAUCUAACACAUGCCUGUAUUUGGAAAACAAGGACUUCUGUGGUCAGAAUAGAACUGGACUGUUUUUCAGAGAGACUGGCAGGAUGAGACGACAGUUUUUUCUGAUGGCCCUGUUAAUACUUUUCACUAACAAGGAAAGGGGAAGGGAAUAAUUCUCUGCAAUAAUAUUGACUUCUUAUGUGAUCUUGGUGGUGUAGGAGGCUGUGGAACUGGGACUGUGAUCAGCUCAUCACACAUCCCUACCACUCCUUCCUCCACAGAGGGAGGGCUCCUCACAUCUCUCCCUGGCUCUGGUGCAGAAUCUGUCCCACUGGACACAGUUCUCCAUGAAUUUCUGCAAGGACCACCAAGUGAUUGGAAGCAGGAGCUGCUCAGACAUGAUGGAGACAACAGAGCUGAACCUCUCCUAGAAAAUCAUAGGCCACAGUGAGCUGCGAAGCCUUCAAGGACAGGAAAUGUUCCAGAUUGUUGUUUUCCAGUAUUUGUUCAGCAGAAGGUGACAAGGAGUUUCUAUAAAAGCAUAUUAAACAUCACUGUUUCCACACUGUGGACUGGAGUUUCAAAAGCUGCAAUGAAACCUGCGUAGCUCCUCUGGAGAAUCUAAACAAUCAAUGUGCAUGAAGCUAAUCUCACUGUCUGUUUCCUCCAAACUGAAGAUGCCUUCAAGAAAAGGAAUACUUCUAUGAAUGAGGCUGUUUACAUACUUUUAAUGAUAUGUUUGCUUUAAUUUAGUUGUAGGUUCAUGCUUCUGUAGGAUCUAUCUGAAUCUUAUCCCCCAGCCAUAUGUGUAAUUCAGGCUUCCUGUUUUAAGGUCAUUCCUAAUACAGAAAAUUGUCAUUAUAUUGGAUAUAAAUGCAAGAAGGGAUUUUAAAAUGUUCAUGAGCUUAGUAUAGUUCUCUUAUUUCAGAAGUCGGCUUCUGUAUACUUCCUAUGUGGGAUCUCUGGAUAAAAAUUGUUAAUAUUCUUUUGUUAAUAUAAGAAUAGCCUGAGUCAAAUACAUUAUGUCAACCAUUCCUUCUCUUUUCUCAUGGAUUUUCUUUGUUCAUCUGAAAAAUAGAUUUAUUUUAGCUUUUUAAUUUAUAGUUCCUAUAGCAUGUGCCUGUUAAAGUCCCAUAUAUGAAACUAAUAAAGAAACUUCACUCUGUCUUUUAGCUCAUCAAAACUCAAUCAACUGCAAAUAGAAGCAGUAUUUCUGUGGGAACAUUCUGAGAUUUCCUUUUUUAACUAUAAUCUCUGCAGCCUUUGGUACCACCCUGUCAGUUCCAUGAUCGGGCUACUCGGGACGUGAAUCAGUCGGGUGCUAAGUGUCCGUCACUGUUGUCCCGUCAGACGUGGCUGUGUUUACAGGGCUGAUCACACUCCAGACCCUCUGCAUUCUUGAUAUGUGGGAGCAUGCUGGGGUCUAGAUGUAAGCUGAGCUUCAGAGCAGUGUGAGCUUGGGAAAUGGGACAGACGUGGGGGUUCAGCAGGUCGUAUCACAUUGCACAGACAGCCUGAGGACCACGUACAUCACCUGGAAAAUGUCAGUGAUCAGUCUGGGGUUACCUACCAUGCUACAGCUGUAAUUUAAGGCCACUUGCUCUGGUGGAGUUCUGCUUGUCUCCAUUUGUGCCAUCUACUCUAAAACAGUUUGUCCUUUUAACUCUUCAUGUUCUGUCUUCUAUUUUCAUAGUCCUAAAUUAUAUGUUAUCUGAGGCUGGUGUUUUCCCGUUCCUUUAUUUCUAAAGCACACAGCAACAUUCUCCCUGUUGUAGCCUGCCAAGUACUGCUGGAUUAGAAAGAGCAAGCAGCAGAAAGAAGAAUGGACAGUUAUUGACGCUGUGCUUAUAGGGCCACUGGCAGACUUGCUUCCUGCCACUUGGGUACUGGAAUUGGAUUUUAAAAUCAAACAUUAUUUUCUGUAAGGAAGCAUUUAUUUUCAGAGUCCUUGGCACACAGUGGCCUGAAUACUGCAAUCAUAAUUCUGGCAAAACUCCCAAAAGACAUCUAAGUUACUUUUUCCUUGAUUCAGGUCUGCAGGACUGUGCUUUUCAGUACAAACAUGUCAUACGUACGUGGCCUGAUUCCCAGAAGCUCUGAGCAGACCCAUUGUAUGUUGCCAACAAAGGGAGUGGAGAGAACAAGACAGCUUGAAAUGUAGUUAAUGAAAUUAUUCAUGUUGCUUUCAUAAUUACAUUUAUAACUGCAUCAUCAUAAUGUGAUGUGUUGAUUAGUAUCCGGAGCCGUUCCUAUAAUUAAACCGAGCGUAGGGAAUUAGCAGAGUUAGAGAAACACCAUGGUGCUGUUUCUAGCACAAUUCUGUUCACAGCUGUUUGAUGGAUUGAGAGGUGACCACAGUGUGAGAACUGAUGGAGAGGCAGUGGCUCCCUUCCUUUGCAUGCUGGUGUCAUCCUGUGUCUGCAAAGGGAAUUUUCAGCUGCAGCAUCAGUGUGGUGGGUGUUUGGGACUGGCCCUUGGUGAUGAGCAUUACCUGGGUGCUUGAUCUUGGCAGGCAGAAAGCACCCAUAAAUCUGCUCCUUUUUGCCAUAGAUGUCCGCAAAGUUUGCCAUGAGCUGCUGCCAAAGAUCUGUAUUCAGCAGCACACUGCAUCUGGAGUGCACUCCCAACACUCGGUCUAUCAAAAUACUAAACGUGAGCAAAAACCCCACAUCACUCACAAGGGGAAACUUGUGCAUUGUCUCUGGUCUAGACUUCAACUGUCUGACCAUAAGCAAAUGCACUACAUUCUCUUUUGCCACAUGCCAAGUUACAGUUGUGUUUGGGAAUGUUAGCAGGGCUAUAUGGCAUGUGUAAAGGAAUUUGAAUGGGGAGCUUAAAUAGUUGCAGUCAUUAUAGAGUAUUGACAAAUAUUGGGUGUGAACAAUAUUUAUGUUCAGUGAAGUUCCAUGACAAAGACACCAGUCACACAAGCCUCUGCUAGUCCAGCCAAAAAAAACCCAGUUUCUGCUAGGGAAAAGAAGUGGCAAUAUCUCUUUAGGCUGGAGAUUAGAAGAGGAGAUCCAGUUUUGGAGAUUUUCAUGUUUGUAUAUUCUAAGACUAUUGACUCAGUAACCUAUCCACUAAUGGAUAGUACCAGAUAAUCCAUAGCCAUAAGAUCCAAUGGCAUGUUUAGCAAACAAAAACAAGGAAAAAGACACAAUCCAAUGGCUUAGAUUUACUUUGUAAUGCUUUCCAUUUUGCCAGAUUGUUUGUAAUCUCCUUUCAGAUACGUUGUAAGGUGAUUGCAGUGUACAAAAUGUUCAUAUGGGGUUGGAGAGAGUUCAAGGAAUUGUGGCAAAUUAAUCAAGUGUCUAAUCUGCAUUUUAUGUGGGUGCUUGAAAAUAGUUUACAAAUAUAAUGUCUGUGUUGUAAUAAUCCUCAUUGGUUUUGAUAAAAAGAUGUGUUUGAAGGCACUUUGUAUAUGCAUGUUACUUGUUUCCUGGCUGUAUUCUGAACCACAUUGAGAUAGCAAUGUCAAAGUGUUGACAACUCCCUGAUAUAGGUUCUACUUUUUACACUUGUGGAUAUUUAAACUCAUGGCUGUUUCAAUUUUCUGAUGUUCAUGGUAAAUUUGCAUUCCUUUUCUGGAAUAGUCCUUCACAUUCUCAUUUGGAAAAUGUCUGCUAUGUAAUAUUUAUAACACAAGCAGAGACACUUGUGCUAGUCUGUCAGCUUUAUUACACUGACUUGACCCUCUCAUUGCUAGAUGUCAGUGUAAAAGUAUACUUACUAUUACACUUUAUUGCACCAACAAAGACAAAGGUAAUAAAUUAAUAUUUUUGACUGAGUUGUCUCUACAUUUAUAGGAAGAUCUACUCUACAGUCUGUAUACAUCACUUCAAAAAUGCAUCUGUAUUAAUCUGUGGUAAUGGCACAGAAUAAAAUUUAUUCUACAAUUUUGAGAAAUUAUAGUUUAAUUAAAUUGAUCUACUGAGUGCUUGAAGGUAGCUUGUAUGAAAUUUAUAUAUAGAGUACACUGUAAGAUUCAGUUGUUAUCAUUAAAAGGAUAUUAUUGCAUAAGAUAAAUGUGAUCUACUUAUUUCUUUGAUUUCUUCUGGUAUAAUUUUUCUUUCAAAAAUGAAAUCUGUUAUUUUGAGGGAAUCUUUCCUACUGUUUAGCAGAUUAAUGAUCAUUCAUGACAUUAUCGGUUCUUCAUGCAUUAUAUAACUUUUGUGUGGAUUCUAUACUAAUAUUGUACAUCACUGGUGACUGACAGUUAUAGCUCAGCCACCUAAUUUUUUGCAGCCUGAUUCCAGAUAUCUUACCUGACAGCAGUCUAAUUUUUAAGUGCUCAUUUUUCAUCUAAAUUACUUUUUCCCCAUACAGAUCUUUGCAAAAGACUACCAACAACACAAUCCCUGCUACUUACAGGAUAUCAUCUCCUCAUAUUUUAACUUUUUUUUUUCCUGGACUACUUGUAACAUAGUCAGUUUAUCACAUUUAGCUGGGAUGAUUUCAAAGAGGAUUGUACAUACCAUAUUAAAAAUAUUUCUUUUUUAUUUGGAUGUUCUUUUGACUGGGUUAGGAUGCGGGUUUUUUGGUUGUUUUUUUUUUUUUCUUGGGGGAUGGUGGGGAAACUGGAUCAGAAAUUUGUUAAAGGUUUUAUUUUAAAGUUAUGAUAAAAGUUUUUAGGUGAGUUUCCUAUAGACUUAUAAAAACCAAAUUGUGUUUAGUACUAAAAAAAGAACGUAGUGUUCUGGUAGGCAACAAACUGUUGUGAGGAAAUUAAAUAUUGUUGAACUUUUAUGAGAGACCUCCAGAGUGAAAGAAGUCUUGCAUAGUUUGUUUCCACUGUCUGUAGAACUUACUUCCAGUGCAUAAAAUGCUAGAUCUGUAGUGGCCCUGCUCACUGUAGCAAACGGAAAGUUUAGUUCAAAGCCUCCCUGGACAAUUUUCAGUCUUUCCUGUUUUUGCUGAGGUUGAAGACAGCGAGUCCCAUGUGGGUCCAUGGUCCAACAGGGUGGGCUGUGCCUGUCUUCUCAAUCAUACUGGCAAAUAACAUUCAUUUGAAAUAAUCAUAUACAAAUUCCAAGUGACUAAUGAUAAGAAAGCAUUACAAAAAUCAGGAGGUUAAAUCAAUUUGAUUUUUUUUUUCAAAUUGGAAUCAUAAAAAACAUUAUAAUCAUGGGAUUUUUAUGGAGUGUCACGAUAAUUAUAAUUCUUCUUCUCUGUGGUUUUAUCUCUGGAUAUCCACAUUUCCUCCAGUCAUACCUUUUUUUUGCUUCUAACAUCCACUCAUCAUGCACUUCAUUAACAUGUUGAAUCUCUGCCUGUUUUUAAAAUCCCUUUACUUCAUGUGUUAAUCUGUGUAUUCUUUCCUAUGCUUUCUGGAUUGUUUUUCCUUCUCUUGUCCUAAAACAGUCCCUUUUGUGCUGUGCCUUAAGUCUUACUUCUGCUUUGUUACAGUAUUCCACCUUCAGUAUUCAGUUCAGCUUUUUUUUCCCUUUGUCAUUGUUCCGCAUCUGUAAAAGUUGGCAGGUAUUCCAGAAUUCAUUGCUAGUAAAUUCUUAGAUAUCUUUCUCUAAUUUAAGUCAUAGGAUCAGCCAGUUUUUACUGCUUGUGUCUUGUUUUCCUGUGUGGCUGUUGCUCAUAAGUGGUUCUGAGUUUUUUUCUCAUAUCUUGCUUUCAAAUCUGCAGGGAUUAUUUCUUUUUCCUGAUUCUGCUUGAGAUAGACAGUGUACUUUAUAGUAGCAAAUAAGAAAGAAAAAGGGGGAAAGAAAAGGUGUUUACAGUCUUUUCCUGUUAUCAGAGGUAAAUGGAACCGAAUCUUAAAUCUUAAGGCUUUGCUGUCCAGCCUACAGUGUUUUGUAUUCUCUUAGCAUGUAUACAUUUGGAUGUUUUCUUCAUGUCUAGGAAGGUCUUAAAAAUACAGUUUCUGUAAUCUUCCCAGUCCCAUGUAGCUGAGAGCUGUAUUCCUAAGCUUUCUUCAUGACUACUAGUGCAGAAUUUAAAUUUGGAUACUGUAACUGUAGCAGUAUUUUGUGGCUUUGCCAUUAGCUUCUCCUUUUUAUAGAUGUGAAUCCUAAAUGCUAUGUGUCUCCCUAACUGUGUGAUGCAAAAGGGUAUGAUUUGCCAUUAUAGUUCCCGUCUUAAAUCCAUUCAGCUUCUGAGUCUUUGUGAACAGCUUCAUGGACGUAAAGAUUGGGAUUAUGAGUCAUAAAAAUGCCAUUUUAUUUUCUGUAUAUAUAUUGUGGUCAAGGAAGAACCAAAGUAAUGUUUAUAAAAGAACACCCUGGGAAAAGUUAUAUUGAUUUUAUCUAGCCUACCCAUGCUUUUUCAUUUUUAAUCUUAGUACUUUCUCUGCAAGACAUGAAUUUUUCCUCUUUUAGUGUUUUCAGUAGCUUAAAUUUACUCACCUUUGGUCACAUCAAUGAUGGUUGCCACAACAGCUCUCUUAGGUUCCUGGAGCUCUAUGAAGAUACUCACUGUCAUACUUAUAAAGGGGUAGAAUAGAAAAAUCAAUUUUACUUAGACGGCAAUUGGAAAAAAAUACAUUUUUGUCCUGCAUUCUACUUUCAGGAUGUUUUAUUCAGCCUGCUUUUCUAGAAUUAGUGUUGUCUGAGUUCUGAGUUUUGUGAUUUUCUUUAGAAUUCACUUCAUGCUUGCAAUAUUAAUAAUUUCUUUCUCUCAAGGUUUUUUUUUUUAAUUUUAAUAUUUUCUGAAAAAAAGAACUAAAAGCAGUAUUGGGUAUGUGCCAUGGCAGUAAAUGUUUCCUGAGGCAUGGAUGUAUUUAUUUAAAAGGUUACUUACAAAUUUCAUUUAAACUUCUACAGGAUGAAGCUGUACACUCAGUCAUGAGGAUUCUGAAUUUUCAUGGCUUCGGGUUCUAGGAUUGUUUGAGACUAAAGUGUGAAAUGGAGUAAAUCCAUUCCCAAUUAUUAAAUCAGCCACGUCUUGCCUUAUAUUCAGGAAAAGUAAAAUACAGUAGUGCAAAGGUGGAUAAAGCACAAAAGCACAUGAAGUUAGUCCAUCCGUUUCUCCAACUGACAGCAGUGAGGCUUCAAGAGGACUGCUGCAGCUGAGAUAAGAAACUCUUCCUUGUCUCCCCUAUAACCUACUUCCUUUGCCUAUGUGCAAUGUAUGAGUGAGAAAAGUAAGAAGGGAGAAGAAAGAUUUUUCUAAAUGUCAGCUGCCAGGAAAGGCAUUGAAACUUGGGUCAGCUCUGUGUUUUUGAGAAAAGGAAUUUUACUGUACAUAAUGUGAGUAUAUAUUUAUAUAACUAUAUUAAAAAGUUAGAUACUAGCAAUUAUCGAUGAGCACAUAUAAACCUGUGAGUUUUCAACAUCAGAUCAGUCGUGACUGAAACUAUCUUUUUGCUUUUUCUGUGAAUAUAAAAAACAUGGAAAAUGGAAAAGAUUAUGUAUUCAGAAUACAUUGAAUUCAAAGUUAUUUUGAUUUCUGGCCACAAUUUCUCUAAAUUUUUUUUUGCCUAGUGUUCAAGGAUGCCCGAGUAUCUAAUGAAAGCACAAACAUCUUCUAAGUUGUUGAUUUGAGUAUGAAACCUGUUUUUUUUGUGCUAACACAUGGAUGGAUGUUCUUCAAUUACCUUUCUUAUGUUAAGGAGUUGCUACUCUUAAACACUGGGAUUCUCCUUGUAGCAACUCUCCACUUUCAAGUUUUAGCUAGUGGAUCCUUAAAAAAAAUGUGCACAUAGUGCUGUGCACGAGAAAAAGGAGUGUUAUGGUUUCAGCUGAAUGUGCUCUGUAAAACCACUUUGCCCCACCAUUCAUACAUAGUCUGAUCCACCAGAAUACUCCACUUAGGAACAUUUAGUCAUAGGAUUGACCCUGUAAUCUCUAAUUAGUAGAAAGUGAUUUUUGCACAAAAUAUUUUUUACAACCUAAAUAUAGGUUCUCAAGCUCUUUUUGGUGUUACAAGAUUCCAGCCCCACAAUGUUGUGUGGCACUACCCCGGAACAUGAAACAAAAGCUGGAGCUAACUGUCAGGGCUCCUCAAUCUCUAGUUGAUGUUGUUUUGCUGUUUAUACAGAACACUAGGUCUCUGGAUAAUGAGGAUGAUGGAGAGAUGAUAGCUUGAUUAUCCCGCUGCUGUGCUUUUGCUGGGAACUGAUGAAUCCUUCACACUUUUUACUAUCUCAGGCCAAUGGUGCUGGGGAGGAUGAGAAAAAAUCGUAAAGAUGACAUGUUUGCUGUCCUGUUCCCUGAUGGGGCUCCAAUGUAUUACCUGGAUCUAAUUAUCUCAUCUCCAGCUGACAGAGAGUCUUCCAUGGCAUGCUUUCCAUCACUGGGAGCCUCCGCCAAGCUUCCAGUGGGCUGUCUAAUAGCUUGAUAUAUUUUUGGACCUCCUGCUCAUUGGAUGAACAAGCUGAAGUAAAUCAUGUGUUGACCUCAAAGCAUUUAUAAACUGUAGAACAUUAUAUUCUCAUCAGAGCCAUAGGGGCAGUAAACUAUAGUUUCUCUGCUGUGAAACAUGGUUUUGGUUAUGCACUGUGUUACCAGGGUUGUACUUAAACAAUAAUAUAUCAUUUGUGGCACAUGUCGCCUUCUUUAUUGAAAGGCAAAACAAAGAGUUGAGGACAAAAAUCAUUACUACUUUAGCAAUUUUUCACAAAAUGCUUUUGUUUUGUACUUGACACACAGAUGGGACAUUGUACUGCAGUGUAAAUGAUGUAUAGCAGCAUGACAAAUUUUAUUUCCUUUGAAAAACAAGAAUAAAAAUAGUGGAUGAAUUUUGGGAAAUGGUGUUAACUUUUUGUUGUUGUUGUUAGUGUUGAAAAUAAAUUAAGUAGGGGAAUAAAUAAAAAAAAUUUAAAAAUUAAAAAAAAUAAAAGAGAUCAAUUCUAAGGGAAAAUUCUUAUUGGAAACUAUUUGAGCCCUUUAAUUGUCUUGGCAGAUAUUGAUUAAAGCGCUUAAAUGAAAAUAUUGAAAACAAUAAACUCACUUAUGUUAGAGCUUUUGAAUCACUGUGAUAGUGAUAAUCCAUGACCAAGGAAGAAAUUCACACAAGGUGUUACAUGUUACACCACAGCUGGACUAAGCAAACAAUAGAAGAUCAAUUCUGAGGAAAGUAAACUGUAUUCUCAGCACUGCUUUCAAUCACGGACUCUUUGGUGCUUCAACCAUGUUAAAAAAAUAUAAAUGCUGCUUCUCAGUCUUCUUGCUUCAAUUUAAGUCUGCAUCACUGGGGUGUAUUACUGUGUGGUAUGUCACACUGUGAAAGGUGUCUGGUUCUGGAAAAGAGUUUUGAAUUUGAUUUUGUUCAUGUGGCAUAGCUUUGCCUUUUCCUUUUAUAGUGGAUUUCAGGGAAACAUGAACAAAGUCUUUACUAUGCUUCCAAUCUGCAAAUUUUACUUAACAUUUCCUUGUUAUUAAUCUUCAGUAAGAAAACAAGAAUUGAAUGACUGUAACAUGAGAAUGUCCCAACUCAUGCACAAGCACCAGGACCCCAUAUUGUGAAGUGUUGUGCACACAUGAAACAGAGCACAGAUGAAUGAGAAAAUUUCCACUCCUUUCCCAAAACCUUGUGUGAAAGUGUUUUGUUCUCAGUCAUGUUUCAGGUGCAGCUGAAAACCAGUCCCAUGGUCCUAAAAUACAACACAAUUAUUUUUCUCUUUGGUUCAGCAGGUGCUGAGUUUUUCCAUUUUCACAAUAGCUAAAGCUAAGGAACUUUGUAGCUAUUUGGCUUUGUGACCACCAAAAUCCUCAGUCUGGACUGCCAGACUGAGACUUAAACUUUUGUCUACUGAUUGUAGACAAAAGUUUAAGGUUUUCCAUGUCUAUCAGUCUGGGGAGGCUGUCUUAAAAAGAUAAUGUCUGUCUGCAAAGUAUGGGUCUGAAUACGAGGUGUCCUUUGAAGUCUUCUUUCCUCUCUGCUACCAAAAUUUUGAAAUAUUACAAAUUUCUUUGAAGCAGGUGAGGAAAAGCUAUCCAUGCUAGAUAAGUGGAAAAAAAAAGAAAGAAAAAGGACUAGGAAAUUUUUCUAUGAGCAAUGACCUUGUGAAAUCUGUGGUUAGGUCCUGUGUGGACUCUUUCAUAGCUAACAGUGAGGUUACUGAUGGUGCCAUCUUUUCUUAGUCAAGGCAAUUUUUUGGUCUUUUUCUGAGAGAUUUGUUUUGGAAUUAACUUGCUGUAUUCAAAGUCUUAGAAACUCAGACACACACACACAAAGGAAGAAUUAUAUAUGCAUGAUUUCCCCACUCUGAAAGAAUGUAUUGUGUUUGUAUAACCAGAACCAGAGACUGUAGAGAUAUGCUUUAUCUUUUCCCCAGUGUUACUGUGUUAGAAACUAUGGGCACAAAGCUGGAAUAAAAUCAUGGUACCUGUCU